UCUAACUAGUAGACUCAAAAAUACAAUCAUUUGAGCAUAUAAUUUACAUAUUAUUGAACGGCAACUGAAAAAAAAUUAUCAAAAGAAAGACAAUACCAUUUUAAGUUUAUAGGUCUAAAACAGUAAUAUUCAAAAGCAAACAAAAUAUGACCAGCUAUGAACAAAUAUACAGUAUGUUUCAAAACUGCAACGGCUGAACAGCAAUGUUUACAAAUUGUACAAUAACAAAUAUCUUUGCUGUUUUGGUGUUAUAUGUACUCAUGUGAAUAUGAUGUUUGUGAUGUUACCCCAUGAGUGUAUAUCCACACUAGGCAAGCUUGACAAAUAUGCCUGGCCACAGUGAGAAUCGAAUCUACAACCUUUGGAAUACCAGCCCGAUGCUUUGCCAACUGAGCUACGCAGGCAGGCAGGUUGGGGUUUGGCCAGGCAUAUUUCUCAAGCUUGCCCGGUGUGUAUAUACACUCAGGGUAACAUCACAAACAUCAUAUUCUGAUAUUCACCAUGAGUCAUGAUUACUGGAUUACAUUGAUAUCAAAGAAACUAGACUCAGUUCCGAAAUAUCACAUAUUCGAACUGACCUGACCGCCAGCUCAGUUGGCAGAGCAUUGGGCUAGUAUUCCAAAGGCUGUAGGUUGGAUUCCCACCGUGGUCCAACAGGGGUCCAUAAAUACUAGUAGAUUUGGACCCCCGGGGGUCCAUAUCCACUAGUAG